CGGUUCCCACAAAGGGUAAAAGCGUAAACCGACCUAUGAGCAAGUAUAUAAGGAGUCCUAGGCGAGAGGCACCAGGGAGAAUUUUUAGACUCAGAAUUCUCUGCACUUAGAAACUUUAGGCUUUAUUCUCGACAAGUUCGGUUUCUAUGACUGGCACUCAAUUACUAGACGAACUCGCCCAGGCAGUUCGAUCUCUUGUCCAGCUCUAUCAAUUGAAAUACGUCCGGCUUGAUCCUCGAAAGUGUUACGUAGGCUGCCUUUAACAAGGUUCAGUCCGAAAUCAAUCAAAAACCUUUUCUGU
rnacentral:lncRNA from 1 species